rnacentral:rRNA from 1 species
AUGCGGCAGUGGAAGGGCGCCUGGCUGCCCCACCGGAGGGUGCCGGGGGUGCUCUCCUUCCAGCGGCGCUUCACGCCGCGCCCAGACGACGUGCUCCUAGCGAGCCCGCCCAAGUGCGGCACCACGUGGCUCAAGGCCCUGUCUUUCGCCACGAUGGCGCGGGCCGCCUACCCACCCGGAGACGGCGACCACCCGCUCCUCCGCCUCAACCCGCACGACUGCGUCCCCCUGGUCGACAGCCUGUUCAGCGCCGGGCAGGAGGCCAAGCUGGAUGCGCUGCCGUCGCCCAGGCUGAUGAACACGCACGUGCACCACUCCCUGCUGCCUCCCUCCGUCGCCCACGACCCCGGCUGCAAGAUCGUGUACGUCUGUAGGGAGCCCAAGGAUAUGGUGGUUUCCCUAUGGCACUUCUACAAAAGCUCCAAGACCACGGAAGGCAGCACGUACACGUUGUCCGACUUGUUCGAGAAUGCAUGCCAGGGCAAGCACUCCAACGGCCCCAUCUGGGACCACAUCCUCGGCUACUGGCAGGAGAGCCAAGCCACGCCCCGGAGGGUCCUCUUCCUACGGUACGAGGAGAUGCUGCGUGACCCGGUCGACAGCAUCAGGGAGGUUGCGCGGUUUCUCGAGGUGCUGUUCACGGUGACCGAGGAGGCGGCGGGCCUACCGGAGGACAUCAUGAAGUUGUGCAGCAUCGAGACGCUAAGGGGCGCGCGUGCCGAUAAGAUGGGCGCGAACAAGGUCUUUGUCAAGUUCCCGCACACAUCUUUCUUCAGGAAGGGGGUGGCAGGAGACUGGGUGAACCAUAUGACGCCGGAGAUGGCACAACGCUUCGAUGCCAUUGUGGAGGAAAAGCUUCAUGGGCCAGGCUUGUCUUUUAAGUCUUAG